rnacentral:misc_RNA from 1 species
CCGCUAUACAGAUGCAUCAACAACCCAGCGCUUAAUCGAUAGAACAACAUAAUAGAGCGAGUAGGAUAAAGAUGCUAGCCUAAUAAAUACACUGGGCAAAGUUUUUUUCAUGAUUCAGAUCCCCCAGUGGACAUUUCAACCAUUGUGCAGGACAUCCAACACCUGAGUUCUCACCUAGAUCUAGUUGCUUUUCUCCACGUUAAGCGUUCCUGUAACAAAGCUGCACACUCAGUGGCGCAGAAAGCUCUUCAUGAUGUUUCUUUUGUGCUAAAUCCUGUAUACUAGCGUCAAUUUGUAUUGGGCAAUUUGCCCCGAUGAUAAUUUCGUUUAAUGGAAAACUCUAUCUUCAGACCAAAUAAAUAAAUAAAUAAAUAA